CCUACGGGUGGCAGCAGUGAGGAAUAUUGGUCAAUGGACGAGAGUCUGAACCAGCCAAGUAGCGUGAAGGAUGACUGCCCUAUGGGUUGUAAACUUCUUUUAUAUGGGAAUAAAAUGUUCCACGUGUGGGAUUUUGUAUGUACCAUAUGAAUAAGGAUCGGCUAACUCCGUUCCAGCAGCCGCGGUAAUAUGGAAGAUCUGAGCGUUAUCCGGAUUUAUUGGGUUUAAAGGGAGCGUAGGUGGAUUGUUAAGUCAGUUGUGAAAGUUUGCGGCUCAACCGUAAAAUUUAAGUUGAAACUGGCAGUCUUUAGUACAGUAGAGGUGGGCGGAAUUUGUGGUGUAGCGGUGAUAUGCUUAGAUAUCACGAAGAACUCCGAUUGGGAAGGCAGGUCACUGUACUGCAACCGACACUGAGGCUCGAAAGUGUGGGUAUCAAACAGGAUUAGAUACCCGUGUAGUC
rnacentral:rRNA from 1 species